rnacentral:rRNA from 1 species
GAAAGGAAUUGACGGGACCCGCACAAGCGGUGGAUGAUGUGGAUUAAUUCGAUGCAACGCGAAAAACCUUACCUACCCUUGACAUGCCACUAACGAAGCAGAGAUGCAUUAGGUGCCCGAAAGGGAAAGUGGACACAGGUGCUGCAUGGCUGUCGUCAGCUCGUGUCGUGAGAUGUUGGGUUAAGUCCCGCAACGAGCGCAACCCUUGCCGAUAGUUGCUACGAAAGGGCACUCUAUCGGGACUGCCGGUGACAAACCGGAGGAAGGUGGGGAUGACGUCAAGUCCUCAUGGCCCUUAUGGGUAGGGCUUCACACGUCAUACAAUGGUCGGUACAGAGGGCUGCCAACCCGCGAGGGGGAGCUAAUCCCACAAAACCGAUCGUAGUCCGGAUUGGAGUCUGCAACUCGACUCCAUGAAGUCGGAAUCGCUAGUAAUCGUGGAUCAGCAUGUCACGGUGAAUACGUUCCCGGGUCUU